CUACGUGCCAGCAGCCGCGGUAAUACGGAGGGUGCGAGCGUUAAUCGGAAUAACUGGGCGUAAAGGGCACGCAGGCGGUGACUUAAGUGAGGUGUGAAAGCCCCGGGCUUAACCUGGGAAUUGCAUUUCAUACUGGGUCGCUAGAGUACUUUAGGGAGGGGUAGAAUUCCACGUGUAGCGGUGAAAUGCGUAGAGAUGUGGAGGAAUACCGAAGGCGAAGGCAGCCCCUUGGGAAUGUACUGACGCUCAUGUGCGAAAGCGUGGGGAGCAAACAGGAUUAGAUACCCUGGUAGUCCACGCUGUAAACGAUGUCGAUUUGGGGGUUGAACUUUAAGUUUGGCGCCCGUAGCUAACGUGAUAAAUCGACCGCCUGGGGAGUACGGCCGCAAGGUUAAAACUCAAAUGAAUUGACGGGGGCCCGCACAAGCGGUGGAGCAUGUGGUUUAAUUCGAUGCAACGCGAAGAACCUUACCUACUCUUGACAUCCAGAGAAC
rnacentral:rRNA from 1 species